rnacentral:misc_RNA from 1 species
AUUUUGUUAUUUUUUUAAUUGUUAUUAAAUAUAGUUUUAAUUAAAUAGAACAAAAGAAAUAAAUAAAACUUAUAAUUUAUUAAAAGAAACUAAAAGGAAAUAUUGUUUUUCUUCUCUCUACUAACACGUGGGAAGAAAGACGUGGAAACUUAAUUCCCCAAACACAAAUUCUCACGUGGAGGCAUAUUUGAAGAAUGCCGAUAUUGAUACAAUCGGCAAGCUUUCUUUUCAUUCUUUUAAUUCAUGUUACCGCUAUUUAAACUAAUGGUAUCUAAUACCGAUAAUCAUCUUGUUGGCUUUUUUGAUAAGAAAAGCUUGAUGCAUUCAUAGCAAGCUUGGUAUGAAUAUAUACAGUUACAGAGAAUACCAAAUAGGAAGCUAUCAUAAUUACAAGGAUCCUAAUUCCGAUUACAUAAUUACAGCAUCAACUAAUUAGAAGGAAAUGUCUCAAUAGUGACCAAACCCAAAUUCUCACCGGCUUCUACCUUUUGAGUUGCAAGCUUACACCGCAACUUCCGCAAGCCUCUCUCAACUUUUGAUUUUGUAAUUCCUUGAUUUUGAUUGUGUUGACUUUGAAUUUGUUUCUCUUCUUUUGAUUUCUUAGCUUUGUUUUUUUUAUUGUGUCAGCUUUGAUUGUAUUGUUGUAUUUUGAUUGUUUGCAAAGGGGAUCUGAUUGUUUGCAUUCUGUUGUGUAAUUUGGAUUCUGGGGAGAAUGGGUAGAACCGAUUGACUGAACCAAAAAAAUCAGUUUGGUCUGAUUUGAUUUUCUUGUAUAAUUUGGUUCAGUUUAUAAAAAUUUAUUUUUCGAUUAUUUUGGCUUGGUUCGGAAUCAAGCCAACCGAUUGCACAACCCUUACAGAGUUAAGUGCCUUCCCAAUUUGGCAUUAACUUGAAAUAGAAGGUAUGGACCGAACUGGAAUAUCUGCAUGUCCUCCUUUUGAGUCCUUAGUGGUGACAAAUAUCAA